GAGUUUGAUCCUGGCUCAGGAUGAACGCUGGCGGCGCGCCUAACACAUGCAAGUCGAACGGUUAAGGCACCUUCGGGUGCAAAUAAAGUGGCGAACGGCUGAGUAACACGUGGGCAACCUGCCCCUCUCAUCGGGACAGCCUCGGGAAACCGUGGUUAAUACCGAAUACUCCGGGACCCCCGCAUGGGGGACCCGGGAAAGCUCCGGCGGAGAGGGAUGGGCCCGCGGCCUGUUAGCUUGUUGGUGGGGCAACGGCCCACCAAGGCAAUUAUGGGUAGCUGGGUUGAGAGACCGACCAGCCAGAUUGGGACUGAGACACGGCCCAGACUCCUACGGGAGGCAGCAGUGGGGAAUCUUGCACAAUGGGCGAAAGCCUGAUGCAGCGACGCCGCGUGCGGGAUGAAGGCCUUCGGGUUGUAAACCGCUUUCAGCAGGGACGAGGCCGCAAGGUGACGGUACCUGCAGAAGAAGCCCCGGCUAACUACGUGCCAGCAGCCGCGGUAAUACGUAGGGGGCAAGCGUUAUCCGGAUUCAUUGGGCGUAAAGAGCUCGUAGGCGGCCCGUUAGGUCAGGAGUCAAAUUCGGGGGCUCAACCCCCGCGCGCUCCUGAUACCGGCGGGCUUG
rnacentral:rRNA from 1 species